rnacentral:tRNA from 1 species
GCCCUCGUAGUUCAACGGAUAGAACAAACCCGUCCUAAGGGUAAAAUAGAAGUUCAAUUCCUCUCGAGGGCA